UCCUUGGUGGUUCAGCAGUUAGGACUCAGCACUUUCACUACUGUGGCCUGGGUUUAAUCCCUGGUUGGGGAA
rnacentral:tRNA from 1 species